rnacentral:misc_RNA from 1 species
GCGAUACGUAAUGCGAAUUGCAGAAUUCAGUGAGUCAUCGAAAUCUUGAACGCAUAUUGCACUUUCGGGUUAGUCCUGGAAGUAUGUCUGUAUCAGUGUCCGUCGACACCAAAUUGUUUUAUCAUUGAUUGAUAGAGCAGACUGUGAAGGUCUUGUUUCGGCAAGUCCUUUGAAAUGAAGGUCCCUCGGUUGAUGUCAGAGUACAUUACAUAGAGGACUAUUUGGAUCUUGUUUCGGCAUUAUUUUGUGUUGCGACUGCACACUGGCUGAAGGGAGAUUAAAUUGCGGUAGUUUUGCUUGUGUUUCGGCACGGGUGAACAUGUAUUGCAUUUUAAUUCGACUGGAGGACUUGGGUGGUCAAAGAUGAAAUACGAGCAAGAGCCUUGUAGUCUGGUGUACUCCUAGCUCAAGUCGAGAAGCAAAUGGGAAUAAACAUCCAAUUUGGACCUGAUAUCAGACAAGACUACCCGCUGAAUUUAAGCAUAUAACUAAGCGGAGGAAAAGAAACUAACAAGGAUUCCCUCAGUAACGGCGAGUGAAGCGGGAAGAGCUCAAGCUUAAAAUCUCCACGCAAGUGGCGAAUUGUAGUCUAUUGAAGCUGUUGUCAGCAUAGCGACUUGGGAAAAGUCCCUUGGAAGAGGGCAGCAUAGAGGGUGAUACUCCCGUCUUUGCCCAAGUUGUCUGUGUGUACGACACGCUUUCUUUGAGUCGAGUUGUUUGGGAAUACAGCUCAAAGUAGGUGGUAAAUUCCAUCUAAAGCUAAAUAUUGGUGCGAGACCGAUAGCGAACAAGU